GACGAACGCUGGCGGCGUGCCUAAUACAUGCAAGUAGGACGCAGUUGCGAACGGGUGAGUAACGCGUCGGUAACUGCCUAUUAGAGGGGGAUAACUACUGGAAACGAUAGCUAAUACCGCAUACUAGUAGAUGGACCUGCGUUGUAUUAGCUAGUAGGUAGGGUAAUGGCCUACCUAGGCGACGAUACAUAGCCGAGCUGGGAGGGUGAGCGGCCAAAAUUGGACUGAGGAACGGGCCAAACUCCGACGGGAGGCAGCAGUAGGGGAUCUUCGGCAAUGGGGGGAACCCUGAACGAGCAAAGCCGGGUGAGUGAAGAAGGUUUUCGGAUCGUAAAGCUCUGUUGUUAAGGAAGCGGUACUUAACCAGAAAGGGACGGCUAACUACGUGCCAGCAGCCGCGGUAAUUC
rnacentral:rRNA from 1 species